GCGCUCGUUGCUCGCUGAUUGGAGGACUCAAGGGAAGUCUUUGGCACGUGGGGAGAAGGAGUUUUGCUGUGUUUUCUGUGAGGUUACUACAAGGGGAAGCUGAAUCUCAGCUUUAGAGAGGUUCUCGAACCACUUGGGGCUAAUUUGGUGACCAGGGAAACUAGUUUGGAAGGUGUUCCAACUAAGGCAAGAGUGCGAUCGACUCUUGGAGUGACUUCAGCUGACUUGUGAAAGCUCUUGAAGACUCAACUUGAGCAGGUUCAGAGACCGUUUGAGCUGAGUUUGGAGCUUCUGUUGGGCUGUUUUGAGCUUAGUGAUAGAGCCAUCUACAGGAGAGGCUAGGGAUCGUGGCAAGGGA